UUCUUCUUGUUCAUCAUUAUCAAUUGUUUUUCACUUUCUAAUAUUUAGCUUCCAAUUUCCGUUUCAUUUUCUCGUUGACUAACAACCCCACCACCCCUCUGCACCAAGCUAGGGUUUAUUCAAUUUUUUUUUCUCAAACUAUAGAGAAAAACCUUCAAAAAUAGAACUUUUAUACUGAUUUAAGGAAGAAGAAGAGGUUUCUUGAUCAGUUGACAUGGGUAAUGACAGCUUUGUCCAGCUAAUCAAGGCAGGGGGAAGGAGGAAGGGACAACGUAGAGUGGGAAGGCGAGAGAAGGGAGGCCUGGCUGGAUAUAAUAUUUAAUAGCAAGUUUGGUGUGGAAGUGUGUUUUGUCAUCUUGUUUGCUAUUUGAGUCAUUGCCAGAAGUUUGACAAACAAUGUUAAAUGGCAAACCUAAUUUGGAAGUUGUUCUAUUGAAUCUGAAGUUUCUCGGUCCUGGUAAAUAUUUCCUCCAUAAUCUGAAAAUUUUGAGCUUCUUAGUCAGUUCCAUGAAGAAUCCCCUGUCAAUUGUCAAGGGAGAGGAGAAAUAGAUCCACUUUUAGAAUCUCCCAACUCCUAAUAUUAUAUGAGGCAAAGGUUAAAGGUCAAAGGGUGACAAGACGACGAAAUGAGAACAUAGACAUGGUCAGGUAGCCUUGGUACCUCAAAGCAUAUGGCUCGACUUCAGUGCUGCAGUAAGCUGGGUCUUAUUAAUAGGUGAUAUUCUUUAGUGUUCAGUUUCAUUAGAACAUAGAGAACUAUUUACACGGUAUUAGACUAGCCUUCUUUUUUUUUAUAGCAGAACAUUAGGUUUCUUGUUUUGGUUCACUUUGGCAAUGAUUUUUCAUGUUUCCAUCUUAUUAUCAGUUCCUAAACACUCAAAUUCUUGUAUUAUCAUUGAGUACGUAUCUGUGUUGUACCGGUA